UACGUAGGGACCAAGCGUUUGUUCGGAUUUACUGGGCGUAAAGGGCGCGUAGGCGGCAAUUCAAGUCAGUUGUGAAAUCUCCGAGCUUAACUCGGAACGGUCAACUGAUACUGCUUUGCUAGAGUACAGAAGGGGCAAUCGGAAUUCUUGGUGUAGCGGUGAAAUGCGUAGAUAUCAAGAGGAACACCUGAGGUGAAGACGGGUUGCUGGGCUGAUACUGACGCUGAGGCGCGAAAGCGUGGGGAGCGAACAGG
rnacentral:rRNA from 1 species